rnacentral:rRNA from 1 species
UACAGAGGUCUCAAGCGUUGUUCGGAUUCAUUGGGCGUAAAGGGUGCGUAGGCGGCGCGGUAAGUCGGGUGUGAAAUCUCGGAGCUUAACUCCGAAACUGCAUUCGAUACUGCCGUGCUUGAGGACUGGAGAGGAGACUGGAAUUUACGGUGUAGCGGUGAAAUGCGUAGAUAUCGUAAGGAAGACCAGUGGCGAAGGCGGGUUGCUGGACCAACACUGACGCUGAGUGAGCGAAAGCCAGGGGAGCAAACGGG